ACCUGACUGGCUCAGUAGGUAAAGCAUGUGAUUCUCAAUCUCAGGGUCAUGAGUUUGAGCCUCAUGUGUGGCA
rnacentral:tRNA from 1 species